CUGUUGCUCCAGAAAACUGCGGGAUGAUAGCUAACUUCUUGCUCUCCCUGCCGGCCGCUACUGGCCCUCGCUGCGCCCUCCGCAACAGCCACAGCAGCCGUACAGCCGGCGGCGGCAAGCACAUCCACCGCCUGCUCUCAUCCCUCGACACCGCCGCCGACCCUUCCGCCGCCGACCGCCUCGUCCGGAAGUUCGUCGCCGCCUCCUCCAAGUCCGCCGCCCUCCACACCCUCUCGCACCUCCUCUCCCUCUCCUCCCGCUUCGCCCUUCCCAUUUAUAGAAGGGUCAGCGAAGCUAAUUGGUUCAAAUGGAACCCCAAGCUCGCUGCAGCCAUGGCCGCCGUGCUUGUGAACCAGGGCCGCGCCACCGAGGCGGAAAGCCUAAUCUCCGAAUCGGUCUCCAGGCUUAAUUCCGAUCUAGAGAUCUCCCUCUUCUACUGCGACCUCAUCGAGGCCUUCUCCGAGCGCGGAUUGAAGGACUUCGCUCUCGAUUUCUACUCUCGUUUGCAUGAAAUCCCGUGCUCUGUGAGGAAGCCCUAUGAAUCGAUGAUUAAAGCCCUCUGCUUGAUGGGAUUGCCGGUUGAUGCCGAGGAGAAGCUAAAGGAGAUGGCUUUUUUGGGAUUCAGGCCUUCCCCUUUUGAGUUCAGGCUGGUCAUGCAAAGCUACGGGAAGUCGGGGUCUUUCGCAGAGAUGAGCAGGGUUCUUGGGAUAAUGGAGGAUGCCGGGUUGGCCAUCGACACGGUUUGCACCAAUGUUGUUCUUUCUUGCUAUGGUGAUCAUGGGGAGCUCGCCAAAAUGGUUUCUUGGAUUAGGAAGAUGAAGAAAUUGGGUAUUGGUUUCUCAGUUCGGACGUUUAAUGUUGUGUUGAAUUCAUGCCCAACAAUUAUUUCAAUGGUACAGGAUGUUAAACAUAUUCCUCUUUCAAUUGCGGCUUUGGUCAAGAAGGUGGAGGAGGAUUCUCUGUCGCUAGAUGAAGCAUUGCUGGUAAGGGAGCUGGUGGGUUCAUCAGUUUUGGUUGACAUUUUGGAGUGGUCUCCUGAUGAAGGGAAGUUGGACUUGCAUGGGUUUCAUGUGGCUUCAGCGUUUGUGAUCUUAUUGCAGUGGGUGGAGGAAUUGAGAAUAAGGUUCAGGGUGGAUGAAGCUGUGCCCCUGGAAAUCUCAGUUGUUUGUGGAUCGGGCAAGCAUAGUGAUAAAAUUGGGGAAUCUCCGGUGAAAAUGCUGGUUUCAGAGAUGAUGUUUCAGUUGAAUAGCUCGAUGAGGAUAGAUAGGAAGAAUGCUGGUAGAUUUGUUGCACGGGGAAAGGCAGUGCGGGACUGGCUAUGCCAGUAAUGAACUAUCUAACUCAAUCCAUUUGACAGCUUAUGCUGCUGUGGGUCAUAGAUGAUCCAGGAGUGGAAGAAGAAGGACCUGAUAGAGACAAAGUGAUGGAAGUUGAGUUUUUGAUUAAUGUGAGGGCGCAAUUCUAUGUGGUUUGCUAGAUAGCAGGCUGCAGGGGCUGGUUAGUUUGUAGGAUUGGAAGAAUCUUUUUUAUUGGUUUGCUCACCGGUAGGACCGGUUUGAGGGGUCAGCCCAGUAGCAGUUGGUGACUGAGAGGUAGACCAUCCAGCAGCUGGUUCAGCAGUUGAUGUAGCAUCAGAAUCUGGUUGAUGGUUAGGCUCAGUAAUUGGACUUUGUUGUGGUUUUGACUGGUCAUUAGGAGCAGCUGUCUGAGGGUUUUGCUGAGCAUUGGAGCUUUGUUGAACAGCUGACGGAGC